GAUGAACGCUGGCGGCGUGCCUAAUACAUGCAAGUCGAGCGAACAGACGAGGAGCUUGCUCCUCUGACGUUAGCGGCGGACGGGUGAGUAACACGUGGAUAACCUACCUAUAAGACUGGGAUAACUUCGGGAAACCGGAGCUAAUACCGGAUAACAUGUUGAACCGCAUGGUUCAACAGUGAAAGACGGUCUUGCUGUCACUUAUAGAUGUAUCCGCGCCGCAUUAGCUAGUUGGUAAGGUAACGGCUUACCAAGGCAACGAUGCGUAGCCGACCUGAGAGGAUGAUCGGCCACACUGGAACUGAGACACGGUCCAGACUCCUACGGGAGGCAGCAGUAGGGAAUCUUCCGCAAUGGGCGAAAGCCUGACGGAGCAACGCCGCGUGAGUGAUGAAGGUCUUCGGAUCGUAAAACUCUGUUAUUAGGGAAGAACAAAUGUGUAAGUAACUAUGCACGUCUUGACGGUACCUAAUCAGAAAGCCACGGCUAACUACGUG
rnacentral:rRNA from 1 species